rnacentral:rRNA from 1 species
CAGGAUGAACGCUGGCGGUAUGCCUAACACAUGCAAGUCGUACGAGAGUUUUUAACUCUAGUGGCGGACGGGUGAGUAACACGUGAGAAUUUGCCUUUAGGAGGGGGAUAACAAUUGGAAACGAAUGCUAAUACCCCAUAUGCUUUUGAGUGAAAUGGAUUUUAUCCGCCUAGAGAGAAGCUCGCGGCUGAUUAGCUUGUUGGUAAGGUAAGAGCUUACCAAGGCGACGAUCAGUAUCUGGUUUGAGAGGACGAUCAGACACACUGGAACUGAGACACGGUCCAGACUCCUACGGGAGGCAGCAGUGGGGAAUUUUCCGCAAUGGGCGAAAGCCUGACGGAGCAAUACCGCGUGAGGGAAGAAUGCCUAUGGGUUGUAAACCUCUUUUUCAGGGAGGAAUAAAAUGACGUGUACCUGAAGAAUAAGCAUCGGCUAACUCCGUG